rnacentral:rRNA from 1 species
GACGAACGCUGGCGGCGUGCUUAACACAUGCAAGUCGAACGGAAAGGCCCUGCUUUUGUGGGGUGCUCGAGUGGCGAACGGGUGAGUAACACGUGAGUAGCCUGCCCUUGACUUUGGGAUAACUUCAGGAAACUGGGGCUAAUACCGGAUAGGAGCUCCUGCUGCAUGGUGGGGGUUGGAUAGUUUCGGCGGUUGGGGAUGGACUCGCGGCUUAUCAGCUUGUUGGUGGGGUAGUGGCUUACCAAGGCUUUGACGGGUAGCCGGCCUGAGAGGGUGACCGGCCACAAUGGGACUGAGAUACGGCGCAGACGCCUACGGGAGGCAGCAGUGGGGAAUAUUGCACAAUGGGCGGAAGCCUGAUGCAGAAACGCCGCGUGCGGGAUGACGGCCUUCGGGUUGUAAACCGCUUUCGCCUGUGACGAAGCGUGAGUGACGGUAAUGGGUAAAGAAGCACCGGCUAACUACGUG